rnacentral:lncRNA from 1 species
GGCGAAAGAUUUGAACAACACUGCAACAAAGACGUUAACGAGAUGACAAGCAAGACCAGGGGAAGAUGCUCGAUGCCUUCCUUGGUAGGAAACUGCAAAUUAAAACCACAGACACGGCUGCAAAACUGUCAGAUGGUUACAAAAGAGCUGACCAGCUCCGUUUGCAAGGACACGGAGCUACCAGAACUCUCCUCCAUCGCUGGUGGGAAUGCAAAAUGGACAGCCACUCUGAAGAGCACUCAGGAAGCUUCUAGAAAGCUAAAUCUCCUCCAGCCACAAAAACCCCGAGCAAGCUGUUCCUCUCCCAGCUCUGAUGAGGCAUGAGGGGAUUCUUCUUCAGCAUUCACUGUGAGGACCUGGUGGAGCUCCUGGAGGUCAAACCCACAGAAGUGCGGGGUCCCCUGUGCCUGGGCCCCCUGGCAUUUUUAACUCUCACACUCGCCCAUGCUGGGCCCAGCAAUCCCUCAGUUGCAGUUCAGGUUUCUCUCCUGGCACUGGUUCCAUGGAGGUUUCUGCUUCUGGGUUUCUGCUCCGGGAAGUGUGAGUCUGUGUGUCUGCCUGUCCAUCCCUCCAGCUCUGGGGACAGUGGUUUGCCCUGUGACCUCACUUCUCUGACAGAUCUAAGAAGAGCUGCCAAUUUUCCAGAUUGUUCAGUUUUUACCUGUUGUCAGGAUGCAGCGGAAACUUCUAGGCUCCUCACACCCUGAAUCAGAGACUGAAGUUUGGCUCAUUUUUUAAUCAUCCACAAACUUUGCAUCUCUGGAAUAAGCCUGAAUUUGUUGUGAUGUAUUACAUAGAUUAGAUGUAGGCACAGACAUAGCUGCAGAUAAAUACACACACACGCAGAGCUGGAUUCAGCUUAUUCGUAUUUUGGAUAUUUGUAUUCGUUUUAAUGAAUGAUAGGUCUUUAAUUUUCCUCUUAAUUUUUCUUUUGUAGUGUCCUUGUCCUUGCCAGGUUUAGUAUUAAGAUUAUGCUGUUCUUUAAAACAAAUUAAGAAUUU